GACGAACGCUGGCGGCGUGCUUAACACAUGCAAGUCGAACGGAAAGGCCCUGCUUUUGUGGGGUGCUCGAGUGGCGAACGGGUGAGUAACACGUGAGUAACCUGCCCUUGACUUUGGGAUAACUUCAGGAAACUGGGGCUAAUACCGGAUAGGAGCUCCUGCUGCAUGGUGGGGGUUGGAAAGUUUCGGCGGUUGGGGAUGGACUCGCGGCUUAUCAGCUUGUUGGUGGGGUAGUGGCUUACCAAGGCUUUGACGGGUAGCCGGCCUGAGAGGGUGACCGGCCACAUUGGGACUGAGGUACGGCCCAGACUCCUACGGGAGGCAGCAGUGGGGAAUAUGGCACAAUGGGCGGAAGCCUGAGGCAGCAACGCCGCGUGCGGGAUGACGGCCUUCGGGUUGUAAACCGCUUUCGCCUGUGACGAAGCGUGAGUGACGGUAAUGGGUAAAGAAGCACCGGCUAACUACGUG
rnacentral:rRNA from 1 species